UGAUCAUGGCUCAGAUUGAACGCUGGCGGUAUGCUUAACACAUGCAAGUCGAACGGAAACGAUGGAAGCUUGCUUCCAGGCGUCGAGUGGCGGACGGGUGAGUAACGCGUAGGAAUCUGCCAGAUAGUGGGGGAUAGCCCGGAGAAAUCCGGAUUAAUACCGCAUAAUCUCCAUGGAGUAAAGAGGGCCUCUAUUUAUAAGCUUUCGCUAUCUGAUGAGCCUGCGUAAGAUUAGCUAGUUGGUGGGGUAAUGGCCUACCAAGGCGACGAUCUUUAGCUGGUCUGAGAGGAUGAUCAGCCACACUGGGACUGAGACACGGCCCAGACUCCUACGGGAGGCAGCAGUGGGGAAUAUUGGACAAUGGGGGCAACCCUGAUCCAGCAAUACCGCGUGUGUGAAGAAGGCCUGAGGGUUGUAAAGCACUUUCAAUUGUGAAGAAAAGUUAAUAGUUAAUACCUAUUAGCCUUGACGUUAACUUUAGAAGAAGCACCGGCUAACUCCGUGCCAGCAGCCGCGGUAAUACGGAGGGUGCAAGCGUUAAUCGGAAUUACUGGGCGUAAAGCGUGCGUAGGCGGUUGACUAAGUCAGAUGUGAAAGCCCCGGGCUUAACCUGGGAACUGCAUUUGAAACUGGUCAACUAGAGUAUGGUAGAGGAAAGUGGAAUUUCUGGUGUAGCGGUGAAAUGCGUAGAUAUCAGAAGGAACAUCGAUGGCGAAGGCAGCUUUCUGGACCAAUACUGACGCUGAGGUACGAAAGCGAUGAUAACUAGCCGUUGGGAGGGUUUACCUCUUAGUGGCGAAGCUAACGCGUUAAGUUAUCCGCCUGGGGAGUACGGCCGCAAGGCUAAAACUCAAAGGAAUUGACGGGGACCCGCACAAGCGGUGGAGCAUGUGGUUUAAUUCGAUGCAACGCGAAGAACCUUACCUGGUCUUGACAUACAGAGAACUUUCCAGAGAUGGAUUGGUGCCUUCGGGAACUCUGAUACAGGUGCUGCAUGGCUGUCGUCAGCUCGUGUCGUGAGAUGUUGGGUUAAGUCCCGUAACGAGCGCAACCCUUAUCCUUAUUUGCCAGCACUUCGGGUGGGAACUAUAAGGAGACUGCCGGUGAUAAACCGGAGGAAGGCGGGGACGACGUCAAGUCAUCAUGGCCCUUACGACCAGGGCUACACACGUGCUACAAUGGGAAGGACAAAGGGUCGCUAAGCCGCGAGGUGGUGCUAAUCUCAUAAACCUUUUCGUAGUCCGGAUCGGAGUCUGCAACUCGACUCCGUGAAGUCGGAAUCGCUAGUAAUCGUGGAUCAGAACGCCACGGUGAAUACGUUCCCGGGUCUUGUACACACCGCCCGUCAUACCAUGGGAGUGGGUUGCACCAGAAGUGGGUAGUCUAACUUAGGAGGACGCUCACCACGGUGUGAUUCAUGACUGGGGUAAAGUCGUAACAAGGUA
rnacentral:rRNA from 1 species